GUGAAUCAUCGAAUCUUUGAACGCACAUUGCACUGCCUGGAACUCCGGGCAGUAUACCUGUUUGAGUAUCAGAAAACCGUCUUACUAUACUGUGAUGACAGUUGGUAAGGACAUGAGUAAUCAUCAUUUCGAUGUUACUUUAAAUGCAGUUGCUAGGAUGGGCGUUUGCUUUUCCGCGGGCCGACAGAGUUAAUGGGCACUGUGGUGCCUGUUGCUGUCAACGCGCGCUGGAAGAGUUCAGGCGCAUCAACAAACUAGCAGUUCACAACAAAACACCAAGGUGUGACUUUGAUCUCAAAU
rnacentral:misc_RNA from 1 species